rnacentral:rRNA from 1 species
UACGGUGGGGGCUAGCGUUGUUCGGAAUUACUGGGCGUAAAGGGCGCGUAGGCGGUCUGCUAAGUUGGAUGUGAAAACUCUGGGCUUAACCCAGAGCCUGCAUUCAAUACUGACAGGCUAGAGUUCUGGAGGGGAUAGCGGAAUUCCUGGUGUGGCGGUGAAAUGCGUAGAUAUCAGGAGGAACACCGGUGGCGAAGGCGGCUAUCUGGACAGAGUCUGACGCUGAGGCGCGAAAGCUAGGGGAGCAAACAGG